UACGUAGGUGACCAGCGUUUGUCCGGAUUUACUGGGCGUAAAGAGCGCGCAGGCGGUCGUGCAAGUCGCGUGUGAAAGCCCCCGGCUCAACUGGGGAGGGUCACGCGAUACUGCUCGACUCGAAGGCAGGAGAGGGAAGUGGAAUUCCCGGUGUAGUGGUGAAAUGCGUAGAUAUCGGGAGGAACACCAGUGGCGAAGGCGACUUCCUGGCCUGUUCUUGACGCUGAGGCGCGAAAGCUAGGGUAGCAAACGGG
rnacentral:rRNA from 1 species